AACGUAGGAGGCUAGCGUUAUCCGGAUUUAUUGGGCGUAAAGCGCGUGCAGGCGGUUUAGCAAGUUGGAUGUGAAAGCUCCUGGCUUAACUGGAGAGGUCGUUCAAAACUGCUAGACUAGAGAAUGGGAGAGGGAGGUGGAAUUCCGGGUGUAGUGGUGAAAUGCGUAGAUAUCCGGAGGAACACCAGUGGCGAAAGCGGCCUCCUGGACCACUUCUGACGCUAAGACGCGAAAGCUAGGGUAGCAAACGGGAUUAGAGACCCCGGUAGUCCUAGCUGUAAACGAUGUAGACUUGGCGUUGGCGGAGUUAAAUCUGCCAGUGCCGUAGCUAACGCGAUAAGUCUACCGCCUGGGGACUACGACCGCAAGGUUAAA
rnacentral:rRNA from 1 species